AGCACAGACGCGGAGAGCAUCGCGAGGGCGGAGCUGCGUUCUCAUCUGCACAGAUUUCAGUGGUACUGCGAAGGCGGAGCAGAGUUCUCCUCAGAUGAUGAUUAUUCCCCACCUUCUAAGAGACAAAGACCAACGAGCCGCCACAGCCACCAGUCCCAGAACCCGCCAAUGCUGGGGAACGGAAAAUGAGGGAGUUCAACUCUGGCCCUCACAAUCCAGUGGAGGAGACGCAACUCAUCUGCCUCUGUCCCUCUGGGCACGCCUCGUGCCAGGUGCAUCUGUGGACAGGGGCCAUGCUCCUGGGCUUCCAAAGUUGGAGAAAGCUGCCAGGCUCAGGUCUGAAGGCCAGAAUUCUACAGUAAGUCCUACUGAGUCAAGGUGGGAGCAGGGUCGGUAGCUUCCGAGGCUCUGCGGGAGAAUCUGUUUCCUGGCCGUAGAGGUGGCCUGCACUCCUCAGCCUGUGCUGCCCGUCUCGAAUGACUGGAGUUUCCUGCUUCUGUCACUACACCUCCCACCCUCUCCAUCACCUGCUCUGCUCUUACAAGGAUCCGAGUGAGUACAUCAACCCCAAAAGCCAAAGACCCUUAACUUCAUUAUAUCUGCAAAGCUCCUUUUGCCAUAUAAGGUCAUGUUCACCAGUUCCCGGGAUUAGGAUAUGGGCAUCUUGGGGGCAUCAGCCUGCUACAGCUAGGCUGCAAAACUGUUACACCCUCCUGGUGUUUCAAUGAUUGGGAGAAAAAGGGUUGGCAUUUUUUGCUUAGGGGUCCCUCUUAAACUUGUAUCUGUAAGGUCGGGGGUCCCUCUUAACCUUGUGUUUUUGUUUUUGUUUUUUUUGAGGUGGAGUCUUGCUCUGUCAUCCAGGCUGGCAGUGGCGUGAUCUUGGCUCACUGCAAUGUCUGCCUCCUGGGUUCAGGUGAUUCUCCUGCCUCAGCCUCCUGAGUAGC
ensembl:lncRNA LINC01002 long intergenic non-protein coding RNA 1002